rnacentral:rRNA from 1 species
UACGUAGGGUGCGAGCGUUAAUCGGAAUUACUGGGCGUAAAGCGUGCGCAGGCGGUUUUGUAAGCCAGAUGUGAAAUCCCCGGGCUCAACCUGGGAAUGGCAUUUGGGACUGCAAGGCUGGAGUUUGGCAGAGGAGGCUGGAAUUCCUGGUGUAGCAGUGAAAUGCGUAGAUAUCAGGAGGAAUACCGAUGGCGAAGGCAGGUCUCUGGGCUAUAACUGACGCUCAUGCACGAAAGCGUGGGGAGCAAACAGG